GCCGGGUGUGGUGGCCCGCGCCUGUAGUCCCAGCUACUCGGGAGGCUGAGGCAGGAGAAUUGCUUGAACCCAGGAGGCGGGGGUUGCAGUGAGCCGGGAUCCCACUGUUGCACUCCAGCCUGGGCCACAGAGCAAGACUCUGUCUCAA
rnacentral:SRP_RNA from 1 species